AGUUCGAUUAUGGCUCAGAUUGAACGCUGGCGGGAUGCUUUUUACAUGCAAGUCGAACAGCGAAAAGCACGGACUUCGGUCUGGUGGCGAGUGGCGAACAGGUGAGUAAUGUAUCGGAACGUGCCUAGUAGCGGGGGAUAACUACGCGAAAGCGUAGCUAAUACCGCAUACGCCCUUCGGGGAAAAGCGGGGGACCUUCGGGCCUCGCACUAUUAAACGGCCGAUAUCGGAUUAGCUAGUUGGUGGGGUAACGGCUCGCAAGGCGACGAUCCGUAGCUGGUUUGAGAGGACGACCAGCCACACUGGGACUGAGACGGCCCAGACUCUACGGGAGGCAGCAGUGGGGAAUUUUGGACAAUGGGGAAACCACAGUCCAGCCAUCCCGCGUGUGCGAUGAAGGCCUUCGGGUUGUAAAGCACUUUUGGCAGGAAGAAACGGCACGGGAUAUUACCCCGUGCAACUGACGGUACCUGCAGAAUAAGCACCGGCUAACUACGUGCCAGCAGCCGCGGUAAUACGUAGGGUGCAAGCGUUAAUCGGAAUACUGGGCGUAAAGCGUGCGCAGGCGGUUCGGAAAAGAAGAUGAAAUCCCAGGAAACUUUAACUUUGGAACUGCAUUUUUAACUACCGAGCUAGAGUGUGUCAGAGGGAGGUGGAAUUCCGCGUCUCCCAGCAGUGAAAUGCGUAGAUAUGCGGAGGAACACCGAUGGCGAAGGCAGCCUCCUGGGAUAACACUGACGCUCAUGCACGAAAGCGUGGGGGAGCAAACAAGAUUUGCGUCACCUGGUAGUCCACGCCUAAACGAUGUCAACUAAAGCUGUUUCAGACGCUUCGGGCCUUGGUAGCGCAGCUAACGCGUGAAGUUGACCGCCUGGGGAGUACGGUCGCAAGAUUAAAACUCAAAGGAAUUGACAGGGACCCGCACAAGCGGUGGAUGAUGUGGAUUAAUUCGUGCAACAUGAAAACCUUACCCUACCCUUGACAUGUCUGGAAUCCCGAAGAGAUUUGGGAGUGCUCGCAAGAGAACCGGAACACAGGUGCUGCAUGGCUGUCGUCAGCUCGUGUCGUGAGAUGUUGAGUUAAGUCCGCAACGAGCGCAACCCUUGUCAUUAGUUGCUACGAAAGGGCACUCUAAUGCGAGACUGCCGGUGACAAACCGGAGGAAGGUGGGGAUGACGUCAAGUCCUCAUGGCCCUUAUGGGUAGGGCUUCACACGUCAUACAAUGGUCAGCAGAGGGUCGCCAACCCGCGAGGAGAGCCAAUCCCGAAACCCGAUCGUAGUCCGGAUCGCAGUCUGCAACUCGACUGCGUGAAGUCGGAAUCGCUAGUAAUCGCGGAUCAGCAUGUCGCGGUGAAUACGUUCCCGGGUCUUGUACACACCGCCCGUCACACCAUGGGAGUGGGUUUUACCAGAAGUAGUUAGCCUAACCGUAAGGAGGGCGAUUACCACGGUAGGAUUCAUGACUGGGGUGAAGUCGUAACAAGGUAA
rnacentral:rRNA from 1 species